UAAUACGGAGGGUGCAAGCGUUAUCCGGAUUUAUUAGGUUUAAAGGGUUCGCAGGCGGAAUUUUAAGUCAGUGGUGAAAGCCUAUAGCUCAACUAUAGAACUGCCAUUGAUACUGAUAUUCUUGAGUAUAGAUGAAGUGGGCGGAAUAUGUCAUGUAGCGGUGAAAUGCAUAGAUAUGACAUGGAACACCAAUUGCGAAGGCAGCUCACUAAACUAUUACUGACGCUCAUGAACGAAAGCAUGGGGAGCGAACAGGAUUAGAUACCCUGGUAGUCCAUGCCGUAAACUAUGAUCACUAGAUAUUGGCGAUAUAUUGUCAGUGUUAAAGAGAAAUCGAUAAGUGAUCCACCUGGGGAGUACGUUCGCAAGAAUG
rnacentral:rRNA from 1 species